AUGAACGCUGGCGGCGUGCCUAAUACAUGCCAGUCGAGCGAACGGACGAGAAGCUUGCUUCUCUGAUGUUAGCGGCGGACGGGUGAGUAACACGUGGAUAACCUACCUAUAAGACUGGGAUAACUUCGGGAAACCGGAGCUAAUACCGGAUAAUAUUUUGAACCGCAUGGUUCAAAAGUGAAAGACGGUCUUGCUGUCACUUAUAGAUGGAUCCGCGCUGCAUUAGCUAGUUGGUAAGGUAACGGCUUACCAAGGCAACGAUGCAUAGCCGACCUGAGAGGGUGAUCGGCCACACUGGAACUGAGACACGGUCCAGACUCCUACGGGAGGCAGCAGUAGGGAAUCUUCCGCAAUGGGCGAAAGCCUGACGGAGCAACGCCGCGUGAGUGAUGAAGGUCUUCGGAUCGUAAAACUCUGUUAUUAGGGAAGAACAUAUGUGUAAGUAACUGUACACAUCUUGACGGUACCUAAUCAGAAAGCCACGGCUAACUACGUG
rnacentral:rRNA from 1 species